rnacentral:tRNA from 1 species
UGGGGAAUCGUCUAAUGGCAGGACAACGGUUUCUGACUCCGUAAGUCUAGGUUCGACUCCUAGCUCCCCAGCCA